rnacentral:rRNA from 1 species
CCUACGGGUGGCAGCAGUGAGGAAUAUUGGUCAAUGGCCGAAAGGCUGACCCAGCCACGUCGCGUGAGGGAAGAAGGUUCUCUGGUUGUUAACCUUUUUUUGUAGGGGAAUACAGGUAUCCACGUGUGGAUAUUUGCAUGUACCCUACGUAUAAGCCUAGGCUCACUCCGUGCCAGCAGCCGCGGUUAUACGGUGGCUGCGAUGGUUAACCGGAUUUCUUGGGUUUAAAGGGUGCGUAGGAUGUUUUUUAAGUCAACGGUGAAAUGUUGGGGCUCAACGAGAGAAUUGCCGUUGAAACUGGAAGACUGGAGUGUGUUAGAGGUAGGUGGAAUGCGAGGUGUAGCGGUGAAAUGCAUAGAUAGCACGCAGAACACCGAUUGCGAAGGCGACUUACUAAGCCAUAACUGACGCUGAGGAACGAAAGCGUGGGGAGCAAACAGGAUUAGAUACCCGGGUAGUC